UUAAAUUGAAGAGUUUGAUCAUGGCUCAGAUUGAACGCUGGCGGCAGGCCUAACACAUGCAAGUCGAACGGUAACAGGAAUCAGCUUGCUGAUUCGCUGACGAGUGGCGGACGGGUGAGUAAUGUCUGGGAAACUGCCUGAUGGAGGGGGAUAACUACUGGAAACGGUAGCUAAUACCGCAUAACGUCGCAAGACCAAAGAGGGG
rnacentral:rRNA from 1 species